rnacentral:lncRNA from 1 species
UUAUAUUUCUGUGUAUUUGACUAAGCUUACUGGCUUCAAUGAUUAACUGUUAUCCCAAAUAUGGAUUAUCUUUCAGCCAACUCAGGGAAUCACAGCUACUGAGUAGUGUGUGUCAGAUCUCUUGGGUGUGCUGGAGUGAGUAAAAGGGGAAUGAAUUACUGUGUUCAUGCUGAGACUUAAUUGAACGGGUAUUCAGUUGAUCUAGGUGAUGGGCACUUUGUUACUUUUAUUGUAACAAAUUUGUAUAUUUAGUUGCUUUAAAACUUUAUUUCAUGCUUUCAUUAGGCCUUGUGAAAAAGGGUAAAGAACAAAACACACAGCGAAGCUUUUUUCUCAGAAUGAAGUGUACCCUAACUAGCCGAGGAAGAACUAUGAACAUAAAGUCUGCAACAUGGAAGGUAUUGCACUGCACAGGCCACAUUCACGUAUAUGAUACCAACAGUAACCAACCUCAGUGUGGGUAUAAGAAACCACCUAUGACCUGCUUGGUGCUGAUUUGUGAACCCAUUCCUCACCCAUCAAAUAUUGAAAUUCCUUUAGAUAGCAAGACUUUCCUCAGUCGACACAGCCUGGAUAUGAAAUUUUCUUAUUGUGA